GACGAACGCUGGCGGCGUGCUUAACACAUGCAAGUCGAACGGAAAGGCCCUGCUUUUGUGGGGUGCUCGAGUGGCGAACGGGUGAGUAACACGUGAGUAACCUGCCCUUGACUUUGGGAUAACUUCAGGAAACUGGGGCUAAUACCGGAUAGGAGCUCCUGCUGCAUGGUGGGGGUUGGAAAGUUUCGGCGGUUGGGGAUGGACUCGCGGCUUAUCAGCUUGUUGGUGGGGUAGUGGCUUACCAAGGCUUUGACGGGUAGCCGGCCUGGGAGGGUGACCGGACAAAUUGGAACAGAGAUACGGCCCAGACUCCUACGGGAGGCAGCAGUGGGGAAUAUUGCACAAUGGGCGGAAGCCUGAUGCAGCAACGCCGCGUGCGGGAUGACGGCCUUCGGGUUGUAAACCGCUUUCGCCUGUGACGAAGAGUGAGUGACGGUAAUGGGUAAAGAAGCACCGGCUAACUACGUG
rnacentral:rRNA from 1 species